AUACGGGGGGAGCAAGCGUUGUCCGGAAUCAUUGGGCGUAAAGGGCGUGUAGGCGGUUUGGCAAGUCGAAUGUGAAAUCCCACGGCUCAACCGUGGAACUGCGUUCGAAACUGCCUUGCUUGAGUGCGGGAGAGGUGUGCGGAAUUCCUGGUGUAGCGGUGGAAUGCGUAGAUAUCAGGAAGAACACCGGUGGCGAAGGCGGCACACUGGCCCAGCACUGACGCUGAGGCGCGAAAGCGUGGGGAGCGAACGGGAUUAGAUACCCCGGUAGUCCACGCUGUAAACUUUGGGCACUAGGUAUUGGAGGUCUCAACCCCUUCAGUGCCGUAGCUAACGCGUUAAGUGCCCCGCCUGGGGAGUACGGUCGCAAGGCUGAA
rnacentral:rRNA from 1 species